AACGAACGCUGGCGGCACGCCUAAUACAUGCAAGUCGAACGAGAAGCUGUAGCAAUACAGUUGUACAGUGGCGAACGGGUGAGGAAUACAUGGGUGACCCUACCCUCGAGUGGGGAAUAACCAGCCGAAAGGUUGGCUAAUACCGCGUACGUUUCCCAGUCUGCGGGUUGGGAAGGAAAGCGAUGCCGUGGGUAUCGCGCUCAAGGUUGGGCUCAUGCCCUAUCAGCUUGNGGUUGGGGAACGGCUCACCAAGGCAACGACGGGUAGCUGGUCUGAGAGGACGAUCAGCCACACUGGCACUGCGACACGGGCCAGACUCCUACGGGAGGCAGCAGUAAGGAAUAUUGCGCAAUGGG
rnacentral:rRNA from 1 species